UACCCUUGAUGGCAUAAUUGAUAUUUGUUUUAAAAACAUAAUACUGAUAAUUUCAUAUGUAGCCUUCCUCUUUCACUUUCGUUCUUCUUCACUUCUGAUAACAGAGAAGAAAUAUCAUCCCUCGCACCACCGUUAUCUCCAUCACUCCCUCCACCACCACCAUAAUUUGUAUCACCGCACCACAACCAACACCACCACUUCUAUCACGUUCGCUACUAAUAUCAGCAGAUCUAUCAUGAUUUGUGUUCCAUUUCAAUUAAUUUCUAAACGAGAUUCAUAUAUUGAUUUAUUUCUUUAGGUUUCGAUUUCGAGUUUCCGAUUCAGAGUUGUUCUUUUUUAUGUUUUCGAUUUGAACUAAUUCAUAAACCAGAUUCAGAGAUCGAUUCGAGUUGCAGAUUCAGAUUUCAAAGAGACCGAUUUGGUAUGUAUGAUUUUCAAUUUUGGUUGCAGAGUUUUCUGAAAGUUUCAUUUGUGUUGAUUCAAUUAAAAAAAAUUUAAAGAAAUUUUCGAUUUAACUGAGAUCGAGAUUGUUGAUUCAGAAAUUGAUAGAAGAGAUCGAUAUUUUGGUGAUGUUUCUGGUUGAAUCUCAUGAUUCUUAGAAAAUGGGUGUUGUUGUUGAAGUUGUAUUGGUGAUGCUGGCGGCGGUGGUGGAGGAUAUAUAGCAAAUUUCUAUUGGUUCAUUCACUCAACGGGUUUUUUUAGGUCAAUUUCAUGUUAUUAAUAUUUAUUUGUGAUGCAAAAUGGUUGCUUUACAAUCUAGAAGUGUUUUCUAUACUGUAAUUUGUACAUUAUUUGGUUUAUUAAUUUCAUGUUCAAGAUAUUUUGAUUUUUAAUGCAAAAUGGUUGCUUUACAAUCUAGAGGUGUUGUUGGUGGUGGUUGUUGCGGUACUGGUGGUGGAUGUUUGUUGCACUUGACUAUAUGUCACACCAAAGAAGGUACAAAUGGUGAUCAGUGACUGAGAUUGUGAACUCAAUGGUGAUCAGUGACUGAGAUUGUGGACUGAAUGGUAUUGGUGUUUCUAUCAAAGAAGGAUUGUAGUGAUGGUGGUUGCAGAGAAGGAUUGAACCUGUUGCAGAAGCUACAAGCAGACUUCAAGUGGUUUAUACUGUGGAAAGACACGCAGAGAUGGAUUUGGUUUAGCAGUUAUGCUUGAAGAUAUACUGGCACUGUUGCAGUUGGAGAUGACACUGGAACUGAAUAUGCAUCCAGCUAGUGAAGAGCAGAACAAGGAGUUGUUACUACUUGUGUGUUGUUUAUGGUGUUUGAGUAAGGGCAUGAAAGUGAUUGAAGUUGUUGGCUCAUGUUGCAAGUGUACAUAGAUGGUUGUGGUCAUGGAGUUGUUUUUGUAGCAGAGAUGGAGGAUGUGAUAUUGUCUGGUGGUGGUUCGAAUUGUUGGUUGUGCACUGAAAAGAGAUAUGAAGUGGCAGGUGCCGGUAUGUGCUUUUAAUAUGUUACUUUGUAUUGAUGAAUCUGUAGUGCAAUGGUAGCACAACUGACUAUAUGUCAUAAGAUGUGUGUUCGACUCACACUAGGUUCACUUUUUUGUGUACAAUUUUUAUUUUUUGGAGACAACUUGUUGCCUCCAUAUAUGAAGACAACUUGUGCAAGUUGCCUCCACAUUUGGAGACAACUUGUGCAAGUUGCCUCCACAUUUGGAGACAACUUGGGCUAGUUGCUUCCAUUUUUGAAGACAACUCUGUACUAGUUGCCUUCGCUUUUGAAGACAAUUUUAGCUAGUUGCCUCAUAUUCGGAGACGACUUGAGUUAGUUGGCUACAUUUUGUUUUGCAA